AUUGAACGCUGGCGGCGUGCUUAACACAUGCAAGUCGUGCGGUAACAGGCGUAGCAAUACGUGCUGACGAGCGGCGAACGGGUGCGUAAUACAUGGGAAUCUGCCCUUUAGUGGGGAAUAACCCGGCGAAAGCCGGGCUAAUGCCGCAUAAGAUCUUCGGAUGAAAGCGGGGGAUCGUAAGACCUCGCGCUGAUGGAUGAGCCCAUGUCGGAUUAGCUAGNGGUGAGGUAACGGCUCACCAAGGCGACGAUCCGUAGCUGGUCUGAGAGGACGGCCAGCCACACUGGGACUGAGACACGGCCCAGACUCCUACGGGAGCAGCAGUGGGAAUAUUGGACAAGUGGGGAAACCCUGAUCCAGCGACGCCGCGUGUGUGAAGAAGGCCU
rnacentral:rRNA from 1 species